GAAGCCGCGAGGCGACGUCUGGAGGAAGCGGUGAGCAAAACUGCGAGCUGAUGAACAAGAACGUCAUAUCAGGCGUAGGCCGGAGGCGAGAUGGCACAAGACAUCGAAGCCGCGUGAUUCAACGGCCACCGUAAAUGGCGCAGUUGUGCAGUGAAAGUUCAUGUC
rfam:Marine metagenome ctg_1101668569035, whole genome shotgun sequence.